AAUAGAUACCCCGGUAGUCCACGCCGUAAACUAUGGAUGCUAGCUGUUAGAAGUAUCGACCCUUCUAGUAGCGAAGCUAACGCGUUAAGCAUCCCGCCUGUGGAGUACGGUCGCAAGACUAAAACAUAAAGGAAUUGACGGGGACCCGCACAAGCGGUGGAGCGUGUUGUUUAAUUCGAUGGUAAGCGAAGAACCUUACCCAGGCUUGACAUCCUUGGAAGCACUGCGAAAGCAGAGUGUGCCUUCGGGAACCAAGUGACAGGUGCUGCAUGGCCGUCGUCAGCUCGUGUCGUGAGAUGUUUGGUUAAGUCCAUCAACGAGCGCAACCCUUUUAGUUAGUUGUAUUUCUCUAGCUAGACUGCCCUGGUAACAGGGAGGAAGGAGGGGAUGAUGUCAGGUCAGUAUUGCCCUUACGCCUGGGGCUACAAACACGCUACAAUGGCCGGUACAAAGGGCAGCCAAGUCGCGAGACGGAGCAAAUCCCAUCAAAGCCGGUCUCAGUUCGGAUUGCAGGCUGAAACUCG
rnacentral:rRNA from 1 species